GUGGGGAAUAUUGGACAAUGGGCGCAAGCCUGAUCCAGCCAUGCCGCGUGAGUGAUGAAGGCCUUAGGGUUGUAAAGCUCUUUUGUCCGGGAAGAUAAUGACUGUACCGGAAGAAUAAGCCCCGGCUAACUUCGUGCCAGCAGCCGCGGUAAUACGAAGGGGGCUAGCGUUGCUCGGAAUCACUGGGCGUAAAGGGCGCGUAGGCGGACUUUUAAGUCGGGGGUGAAAGCCCAGGGCUCAACCCUGGAAUUGCCUUCGAUACUGGGAGUCUUGAGUUCGGAAGAGGUUGGUGGAACUGCGAGUGUAGAGGUGAAAUUCGUAGAUAUUCGCAAGAACACCAGUGGCGAAGGCGGCCAACUGGUCCGAUACUGACGCUGAGGCGCGAAAGCGUGGGGAGCAAACAGGAUUAGAAACCCGGGUAGUCC
rnacentral:rRNA from 1 species